UAGUAAGGACAGGCACCUGGGGACAGGGAGUGGGGCUGGCAGGAAGAGGUGCCUCCCAGAGGCAGGAGCAAUGGCGGCGGCGGCGGCAGCAGCAGCAGCAACAGCAGCAGCAGCUUUGAGGAGAGCCUGAGACUUGGAAGGGAAAAGCUUGGUAACACACUGUAACAGAACCAGUCUCCUGCGGUGUGCUUGCCUCACCCAACUAGCCUGGAAGUCCUGAAAGAGUGAUGACUCUCUCCUCAGCGCUGGAGACUUGUCUCCAGGCCCGUGUGGGACAGUGGACCAUGCCAGGAAACUUACUCAGCCUGUCAGCCAGCGUUGGAGGCCUUUGCACAGUGCUCCAUAUGCUGAGAAGGCUCUCUAGACAGAACACAGGGCAGGGCUGUGGGACAGGGCUGAAAGCACGGAAUACGUGAACAUCCUAAACCUACAUCCUCACUGUUGCCUCCAUUAUCCCGGGACUGCAUACACAGUUGAACCCAGCUAGAUAGGAGGACCAUGUGCAGGUGAGCGGCGAAGGUCCCUCCCCCUUCACGGCUCCAUCUUUGAUGUGAUCACCUCUGUUGUCCAGAUCACUUCUGUUUCCCAUUGUCACGCCAGCCUUAGCCCAAGGUCUCUCCAGCUAUAUGAAUGUUAGCUCCAUGUUCCACCGUGGUGGGCCUGGAGGAGGAGGCCCAUCAUUUCCUAAUAUCGAACAGGCAUCAUGGAACCAGGUCCUCAGCUCCAGGCCUUUCCCACGCCUGGCUCCACAAGCUGCAAGGCCAAAGGGCAGAAGGGAAAGCCCCAAAUCUUCCAGCCCAGGAACAGUUCCCUGCAUCCUGUUUUUCUGUGAUGUCACUGAGACAGCUCGGAGCCCUGCCAGGGAGCCUGAGAAGCCCCAUUUGUCAUCCUGAAUCUCUAGGAGUCUCUGGAAAAGCAGAGUGCACGAGGCUGACAGUUUCCAGUGGCCCCAUAGCAGGCUCCACGUGCAGGACCAUUGUGAUGUGUGUUUCGGGGUCCGGUUGUGAUUCUGAGUCCUCUGCUUCCUCCCUUUCGGGGUGUCCAGAUGCCUUUGCACACCGG
rnacentral:lncRNA from 1 species